GGCCGCUUUUAUUGGGCUUAAAGCGUUCGUAGCUGGGUCGUUAAGUCUCUUGGGAAAUCCGGCAGCUCAACUGUCAGGCGUCUAAGAGAAACUGGCGAUCUUGGAACCGGGAGAGGUGAGGGGUACUUCGGGGGUAGGAGUGAAAUCCUGUAAUCCUCGAGGGACCACCUGUGGCGAAGGCGCCUCACCAGAACGGCUUCGACAGUGAGGGACGAAAGCUGGGGGAGCAAACCGGAUUAGAUACCCGGGUAGUCCCAGCCGUAAACAAUGCGCGGUUAGGUGA
rnacentral:rRNA from 1 species